AGUUUCGAGCAACUAAAAGCAUACAAAUACUCAUUGUGCAAUGAAAUACCAAAAAUAAUAGUAACUCGUUAUAUUUUAAACAUGAGAACGGUUAUAGGCUGAUAUGAAAACGCUUAUGACCCAACAACAUGACGUGUUCAUUUGCUGACAUAAUUAGCAGUCGCAUAAAGUCGUGAUAACUAUCUUUGCUAUCUAAGGGCAUUACUGACAUCUGCUGGAGCUGUGAGCGGAAUUGUUGGGGGGAAAAAAUCUAAUAUUGUGUAUAGGGGUGCUUGGAGUCAAAAAGCUGAAGAACCACUAUUGGUGUUCCGUAUGAACGGGUCCAGCAGUAACAGCCUCACUUUCAUAAAAGCACCAUGAACGAAUCAAUGAACGCAUUUUAACGUAUUCAAAUUCGAGUCAGUGAGCUGAAUCAAAAUCCUCGCCACUGAAAAGACUCUACUCUUCAAAGGGUUAAUUCGCAGGCCUUCUCACAUGACAGCAUCACGUGACAUUGAUCCCGUGACGUCUUGUAGCAAUUUGACAGCAAAGGCAGCAGGUAAGCGAGAAGUCAAAUAUAUUUAUAGUAUUUCUGCUACAACUAUUGCUUAUCGGGUUGACAAAUAAUUGUCAGAUAUCUGUAUAGCAACGUCUGACUAAACACAAAAUCUAGGCGCUAGCUUCCCAACCAGCUCUUUGCAUUAGCAGUUGUCAGUGGCUCGGUCCAUUCAGUAUUUGGUUUGUUUGUUUGUUUGUUUUUGAAUACGUAUAACAAAUAAUAUCAUAUUAUUUUGAAGUAAUGUGUCCAGACCCACCGAAACGUUUAGUUAACCUCAUUUCUUUUUUAAGUUGAGUUGUAAUUCGUAUUUUUACCCGUUCACCCUUAGCUAGCUGAUACACGACCCCUGCUAUGCUAAAUCAUAUUUAUAGUGUUUAUUAGUAACAUACCGUCGUUUUUACACAGUUAUAUUGUUUAAUCUUU